rnacentral:lncRNA from 10 species
AUUAAGAGUAUCUGUUAUAACUAUAGCUAAAUAAUUGGCCAUACUGAGUCUAAAUUUAAAUGCUAGAUUAAUUUGAUACGUAACCGAUUAAUUUAUAAUUCCUCAGAUGAUGUUUCGGCAUUUGCCACUCACAAGAUCAAUAUCUUCCCUCUUUUGAUCAGCCCAAUUUUGAACAUGGGUUUUCCUUAAAUAAAUCUUUAAAGAGAAAAACAAUGUAAGAAUACAUUCUGCUUUCCUGUCAAAAUACAAUCGACAGGGAAAUAAUUCCUUGCUGUAUUUUAAAAUUUCUCCCUACCCUUCCUUCUGCCUCAAAGAUUAAGAACAUUUGCUUUUCUUGUUUUCCUGAACCACUCUUUGAACAUCACCAGUCUCCCGGUAGGCUUCAGGAAGUUUGCUGAUCCUAUCAGCUCAGGAGCAGCUAAGUUCACAGGAAGGACAAUUCUGAAAGCUGGUGAAGACAUUGCCAUCAGACUCAUCUGCUUGUCAUGAAAUCGCAACAGCCACCCCAGCCUUCGGUAGCCACCACCCUGAUUAGUCAGCAGCCAUCAGCUGAUAUCAAGAGCACAUUAAAUGUUAACACUGCGACUUGCAAGGACCCCCAGCUGGUGGAUCCCUGAGGACAAGGACAGAAGUUCACCAUGCACGGCCACUCUGCUUAUGAUCCUUACCAGCACACCUACCAACUGGGGAUAAGCUUUCUUAUUGGCACAAACUGAAUUUUCAUGCCUGGAUGUAAAAUAACUCCAGUGAAAUGGAAGAAUGCUUUUAAACAUCACUUGAAAAUAUGACUAAACUCACACAUUUCAGUUUGAAUGAAGCGUUUUAUGUUAUGAAAAUAACAUAUACUUGUUCUAUACAAAAUUUGGAAAAUACAGAGAAAAGUGAAGAAAGAUCACUCGUAACUCUGUCACCCAACAUGAUCACUGUUAACAUUUUGAUAUAUUACCUUCUAUUAUUUUUCUUUUACAUAGUUGUAAUCAUGUUGCAUAUGUAAUUUUGUACCUUACUUUUUUGCCUGAACAUAAAUAAAAUAAACAUGUUUCAUGUUUAUAAAUUCUUAAUAUAAAU